UACGUAGGGUGCGAGCGUUAAUCGGAAUUACUGGGCGUAAAGCGUGCGCAGGCGGUUUUGUAAGACAGAUGUGAAAGCCCCGGGCUUAACCUGGGAAUGGCAUUUGGGACUGCAAGGCUUGAGUGCGGCAGAGGAGACUGGAAUUCCUGGUGUAGCAGUGAAAUGCGUAGAUAUCAGGAGGAAUACCGAUGGCGAAGGCAGGUCUCUGGGCUGACACUGACGCUCAUGCACGAAAGCGUGGGGAGCAAACAGG
rnacentral:rRNA from 1 species